GGAGGGGUCGCGAGCACACGGCGGAGAGCGCGGGAUCAAAGUGUCAGUGGAAUUGCGCUGGACUGGCGUCGCGCGGGCGUAAACGCAUUAUUCUCUGAGAUGCACGCAAGUGAAGUUUGUUUUCCUCCAAAGCACGCGUUAACUUCGCGUCGCUGCAUUAAUUUAAUGUCAUCGUCACCGCCGAAGAUCUGUCAGUCCUUCAGAGAAGCCUGUUGCCAUGCCGGUAUUCCUGCUCAUCCUGCGGCGUCUGUUGCCCCCUGCUGGUAACGGAAGGCUCUGUCUCCACUAGGUAAUGUGAGGGCAAAGAAGAGAAUUUUAAGAUAAUUCCCUGAACAUGACAUAAGGCUAAUUUUAAUCUCAUUAACACAUUUAAUUUGGUUUUACCUACUGUUGGAUUGAAAACUUCCUUUACUGUUUCUCCUUUUUGUCAAAGGACAGUUUGGAUUCACCAGUUCACAUCUCAGACUCUGGUAAUACCUCCUAGGUUUCCCUUAAAUGCCUUGGUGUCUGGCUAUAGUUCUAAUUAACAUAGACCACUUUCUUUCACUCAAGCAUUGCUGACUUCGUUCGAGGUAUUCCCUGCACUUAUGUUGACUUGCAUCCCAUCAUAUUUUAAUUUAAACUUGUUUAUGUCCUCAUUUUUUUUCUCAGUCAUUUUAAAUGAAUUAUGCUCUUGAUAUCCACAACAAAACUGCUGUAACUGUUCUAUUUCAUUGCUGAGCCAUCUAGCCUCCUCAUCUGUAUAUGUUUUUACCCAGUAUACAUAUGUCUCUUUCUCAUCACCAAACCUCUACGUCCUGGCACUUGGUCUUCAGCUCCACAAUCUCUUUUCUUAUUUAUACAUGCAACAUUUGAAUUGUUCUUCUUGUGUUGUUUGCUCAGUUCUUCCAUGUCAUGCUCCCUGUCCUGGGUUUUCUGAUCAUACUGCAGUUUUACCUCUUCCAGCUCUGUCACACUAUGUUCACACGUUUUGAUGUGCGAUUCACACUUUUUUUUGUGAUCCUCCAGCUUCUGGUGCAGCCGCUCUCUCUCGUCAUCUUUGUCUGACGUCUCUUCAGUCGGUAUCAUGCGGUUCCACCUUAUUUGCUAUACCUUCAUCUGCAUUUCCUCAUGCUAGGCCAUUAACCUGUUUAAUCUUUCACUUUGUUUUUCCGCCAUGUGUUACUCACACUGCCCCUUCAACUUGUCAGUAUUUUUGCCCCUUUCCUACAACUUUUCUUCAUAAAGGUCUUGUAUUUCAUUCUCUUUCUCCAUAAUCAUCUUCUCAUGUGAAGCUUUUGGCUUCUCCGUGUCUUUUUCAAUUUUCAUUAUCUUGUCUUGUGGAGAUUUCUUGAAUAUCGUUGUCUUUUUCAUUUAGGAUCAGUGUGUUUUCAUUUCCUCAAAUUCUCCCUGUUUGGAUAUGUGCAUGCCCUCAAUCUUCUGCCACAACAGAAGUCUUGAAUAUCUUUGCCUUUCAUUUAGGUUCACUGUGUAACCUGUUUUCAGUCGGUCAAGUUCCCUCUGUUUGGUUUUGUGCAUGCUCUCAUACUUCUGCCAGAACGUAUUAUUCUCUCUUAUGCAUCUUCAGUUCAGAAUAAAUUGGUGUGAUUAGAGAAAUGGAUACCCCAGUUCUCCUUGACUAAAUCUAAAGCUAAAUUUUCAAACAGUUCGCAGUUUGUUUGGCAUUGUUUUGUUUUCACAUACAUGAAGCUGACCUCUACACUUUGCUAUUAGAUCUUUCGACUCUGGUUGCCUCACAAGGAAUUGUUCUUCACGUUCGAGUCCAAGCUUUAACCUUCAGGUGAGCAGGACUUUUGUGUGCCCUCACACAGCGGCACCCACAAUUCCCAGCAUGUUCUCAGUCACCUUCCCAUUUCUCUGAGAAGUCUCCCACUGGAAUGACUAGGAGGAAAGCAUGGGGUCCUGGUUCACACAGUGGGAUGCUGUUUGGAAUCUCCUCCUGGAUCUGAGCAGGCAUGUCCUCAGCUCACACGUGGCCCCAGGUUGAGAUGACAGUGGCUAAAACCACUGCCAUCCACCCCGACCCGCCCACGGACGCACUUCUCGAAGCCUUGCUCAACAUCAAAGAUGGUUCGAGCCCAAGAUGUUUUCUGAGGAACUCCUACCUGCCCUCCUUCCUGAGCCCUGAUGUCUGUGACAUCAGACACUGAAUCUUUUCCCUUUAAUGUUUAUAGAGAUAGCACCAAGACACCAAGGUCUGAAAAAAAGAGUUUCCUACGGUUAUCGGAGCACCAGGGGCUGUCACACCCAAACUGGAAGAAGAUCCGAGUUCUGUGUCCAGAAGAGUGCAGUGCUAGGAACAGCACUAAGAGAACCACAGUGAAAAGAACAUAUUUCUUCUGUCCUAAGAGACCUUUUUCAGGCCUUCAACAAUGACAUCACACAAGUAUAGUCUUGUAAAAACGGAGCACAUCUGAAUUUGAAAUAAACAUUUACAUUUUCAAAAGCGA